rnacentral:misc_RNA from 1 species
CCCUCCCCUCCCUUCCUAGACUAAACACGAUUCGAUGACCAGUACGAAUUGCGGUCUCACAUGCAUACAUGCAGGACGGGUCGACACGAGUGAUAUUGUUAGACAACGUAUGUUACUCGCAAUUAUAACAUGAUAAGAAGAAAGGCAAAGAGAACUGCUGUACUAAACAAACCAGAAGAAGACCAUAAAGUUUUAAAAAAGAAAAAACCCGUAGAUGAUGAUGGCAUAGGCGUCGAGAAAGAGCUAGAAAAUUUGUUAUUUGGAGAAGCAGCUCAACACAUUUUGGCUACACGUGACAAACCAAUAUGCAAUGAAAAAUUAGAAGAUAGACACUCCGAGUAUGACUCUGACGAGGCAGAACAUGCCAAGACAAACACAGAGUGCAAUGUAACUCCAAGACAACCAAAAUGGAUUGAUGAAGACGAUGAAAAUGAAAAGAUCGAUGUAAUUGCUGGAGGAAAGUUACGAAAAUUAAGAGAUACUAAAGACGAAAGCGUACUGUGUGGAAGCAAAUACUCAACGAAACUAAGAACACAAUUUGAGAAAAUUUAUGGAGAUGGAAAUUGGGCAAGUUUGGACAGAAAGAAUAAUCAAGAAGAAAGUGAUGAUGGCAUAGAAGAAGAGAUAUUGAAGAGAACAGGAAAUUAUUUAACCUGCAGCCAUGAAACACUGCCGAGGGGAAUUCUAAAUAUCAGGAGAGUCAAUGAUGCUAAUAAUUCUAAGCCAUCUAAUGCUGGCAUACAGGCUCUUGAAUUUCAUCCAAGUUCAAAGGUACUGCUGACUGCUGGGUUGAACAAAACAAUGGACCUCUUUCAGAUUGAUGGUCAAGACAAUCCCAAGCUACAAAGCAUUUUUGUGAAUAAGUUCCCAAUUUACAAUGCUCACUUCUCAACUGAUGGACAGCAAGUUAUUAUGACAUCAAGAAGGAAAUAUUUCUAUGUAUAUGAUAUGAUUAAAGGAAAAGUGAUAAGGAUUCCACAUAUUAGAGGCAGGUGUGAAAAGAACCUUGAAAAGUUUCAAGUUUCUCCUGAUGGUAGUCAUUUGGUUUUUCUUGGUGACAAUGGAUACAUGAUGCUAGUGUCAAGCAGAACAAAGCAGUGGAUUGGAAACCUAAAGAUGAAUGGAACAGUAGGUGCAGUAACCUUUUCUGCUGAUGGUUCACAUAUGUUUAGUACUGGAAGUGAUGGUGAAGUAUACAUAUGGGACAUGAAUACUCGAACAUGUCUACACAAGUUUACAGAUGAUGGGUGUCUAAUGGGGACGUCACUUGCAGCUUCAAAAGAUGGACAGUAUUUGGCUUGUGGAUCCGAUAGUGGCGUAGUUAAUGUUUAUGACAACAAGUGUUUCAACCAGUCCAAACCUAAGCCAUUAAAGUCCGUUACUAAUAUUACAACUCCUGUUGAUGGGACCUUGUUUAACUCUUCCAGUGAGAUAUUAGCUAUUUCUUCAAGGUUUGGUAGAGAUGCAUUUAAGCUGGUUCAUUUACCUUCUCUGUCGGUUUUCUCUAACUGGCCAAACUCAAAAGCACCUCUGCGAUAUGUUCAUUCAUUUGAUUUCUCACCAAAUAGUGGGUUUCUAUCGAUAGGAAAUGAUCAAGGAAAAGCACUGCUUUAUAGGAUAAAUCACUAUACAGACUCUUAGUAAAGUGAUUACAGUACUAUAGGAUGUACUACUACUGGUCAUACAGGUCUUCAGUACAGCUGACACCAGGCUAUAGCAGGGGUGUGUCAGUACUAUAGGAUGUACUACUACUGGUCAUACAAGUCUUCAGUACAACUGACUCCAGGUUAUAGCAGGGUUGUGUCAGUACUAUAGGAUGUAUUACUGCUGGUCAUACAAGUCUUCAGUACAACUGACUCUAGGUUAUAGCAGGGGUGUGUCAGUACUACAGGAUGUACUACUACUGGUCAUACAAGUCUUCAGUACAACUGACUCCAGGUUAGCAGGGGUGUGUCAGUACUAUAGGAUGUACUACUACUGGUCAUACAAGUCUUCAGUACAACUGACUGCAGGUUAUAGCAGGGGUGUGUCAGUACUAUAGGAUGUACUACUACUGGUCAUACAAGUCUUCAGUACAACUGACUGCAGGUUAUAGCAGGGGUGUCUAUGCAUACUAUAAUUUACAUUUGAGGUCGUCCAAACUUUGGUCGCUGUUCAUUAACUGAUAGCUUAAAUUAUAGUGUAGUAUCCUGCUGGCAAACCAGAAUUGUCAUGAUCACUAUGUUUAGUUUUGUAUUUUGAAAUCAUUUGAAGUUUGGUAUGAAGUUUCAAAGUAAUCUGUGGCCUUGAUUGAAUAUAAAAAACCAGUGUACUUCUCACACCUGUGGAGAGUAGGCUUUGACUGAGGGUUCUAAGCAUGCUACAAAUUUGGAAUAAUUGAUGAGUAGUAAUAUAAUUAUUCAGAAAUCAAAUUUACCUUUAUUUGAAUGUCAAAUUAAAAUUGGAUGCAAUUUCGUAAGAUUUCCACAUAUAGCAGAACUAGUUACACUUACAUUUCAAAAGUGAGAAAACCGCAUAUUACGAAUAAAAAGAUGAGGCAACAGACAAA